rnacentral:piRNA from 1 species
UGGACAAUGCCGCUCCCAUUCAGGAUGGUU